CGGCCAUGUGGCCGUAAAUAUGCACCCCGCAGGUACCGCAGACCGCUGCUUGCAUGGCGCAGGUUUCGGCAUUCGCUUGCAUUUCAUUGCCGGUGCCUAAGCGGCUAUUGGAUGCCGAUUGCAAGCCGUGCGGGGUGCCCAUGAAAUCCGAAGAGCGG
rnacentral:ncRNA from 1 species